UCAACAAAAGUGUCCAUCAACAGAUGAAUGGAUAAAGAAAUGUGACAUACAUAUAUAAUGGAAUAUUAUUUAGUCGUAAUAAAGAACAAAAUCCUGUUAUUUGUGGCAACAAGAAUGCAAGUGGAGGGCAUUAUGUUAGGUGAAAUAAGCCUGGCAUAGAAACAUAAACACCACAUAACUACGUGUUCUCACUUAUGUAUGGAAGCUAAAAUUUUUAAUCUCGUAGAAGUAGAUAGUAGAGUUUUGGUUACCAUAUCCUGGAAAGAGUAGGAGAAAGAAGAGUAUAAGAAAAAUGUGGUUAAUACAUACAAAAUUACAGGUGGAGAGAAGGAAGAAGUUCUAGUUCUCUACAGCACUGUUGGGUGACUGUAGUUAGCGGGAAUUUAUUGUGUGUUUUCAAAUAACUAAAAUAAAAGAUUUUGAAUAUUCUCACUGCAAAGAAAUAAUACAUGAUUUAGGUAAUGGAUAUGAUAAUGACUGUGACUUGAUCUUUAUGCAUUGCAUAAAUAUAUCAAAAUAUCACUCUGUACCCCAUAACAUGUACAUUUAUUAUAUGUCAAAGUAAAUUUAAAAGAGAAAAAAUGAGGUAAAGGUAAAUGUACAGAAUUUAAUUACUUUUUCUUCUAUAAAACCCAAGAGUCAGUACCAAGAAGAGUCAAUUUAUUAGUUUUCUAAAAUAAAAAAAAUCAAAGUCGCCAAAAAAGAGCAAUAUCCAAGAAAACAUUGAAAAUGAAACACAACAUUUAGUAAGAAUAGAAAACUUGGGCACUGUAUCACCCUGUUCCUAGAUACCGAUUUACUGAUAGCAAUUUAAAUAGAAUUUUAUUCUAUCUAAUUCGUUUAUACUCCCAGAGUUCGAAAUUACAUUUUACCUACAAUAAAUGAGAUAACACUUGCAAAUUAUAUGGUACUCUGCCUAACACACGUUAAUAACUCAAUACAUGUUAGCAAUAAACUUUUAGUAUAGUAGUCAAAGUAUUAAUUUCUCACAUUGCAAAGUUCCUUCAAAGACAUGAAUACAACCUUUCUAAUGACUCCUUGUUCAUCAAGAUACCUCUUCAAAUUAUUCUAUUUAUUUCAUUCAGUAUAUUAUCUGUGUAUACCGAUAUGAUAUUACACUCUUUUUUUUUUUUGAGAUGGAAUCUCAUUCUGUUACUGAUGCUGGAGUGAGGUGGCAUGAUCUCGAUUCACUGCAACCUCCACCUCCCAGGUUCAAGCGAUUCUCCUGUCUCAGCCCCCCAAGUAGCUAGGACUACAGGAGUUCAAGACCAGCCUGGUCAACAUGGCAAAACCAUGUCUCUACUGAAAACACAAAAUUAGCCAGGCAUGGUGGUACAUGCUUGUAGUCCUAACCACUCAGGAGGCUGAGGCAAGAGAAUCACCUGAACCUGGGAGGCAAAGGUUGCUAGGUUGCUGUGAGCCAAGUUCGCACCAUUGCACUCCAGCCUGGGUGAAAAGAGCAAAACUCUGUCUCAAAAAAAAAAAAAAAAAAAAACCACCAAAAACUGCUUUUGAAUGGAGUUGUACAUACAAUCUUUAUGAAAAAAAAUAUCAAGUGCAUAAGUUCAUAAUAGAAAAACCAAUAAUACUCCAGGCACAAGUUAGUACUAAAAAAGUUAUGUUGAAUAUUCUCUAAUACAACAUGCUUUUUCCCUUCAUGAACGAUUUGUGUUUUACUGAGAAGAGUCAUUGUUUAUGGUAGACAUUAGACUACAGAUGAAUAUGUACUUUAAACACUCUUAGUUGCUUUCGUAAUUUUAUAUCUGCUGCUUUAUGCUUCUGUUUAUUUUCAUUCUUUCCAAUGUCCACAUUCUAGUAAAUUUGAAUAUUUUAAUCCAAGUUUAUAUACUAUUUAAUAUUGCUUGUAUAGUUUAGUAUUUUUAAGACUCAAAAAGGUUUACAGAAAGAAGAAAAAGAUCAACAUGUUAUUAAUCAUUUAAAGAUCAUUUUAAAAUCUUUGACCUUUAUAUUUUAAUGAAUAAAAUGUUGGUAGUUAUUAGUAUAAAAUAAUUUAUGUCUUUUGGACUUAGCAUCCAGUAUUUCUUUUUUAAUAAAGAAAAUAAUUAUUCUCUUGCAAUAUACUAUGUUUAUCUGGGUUUUGAAAAAUGAUGUUUCCUAAUAUGAGAAAGCCAUUUACAUUUUUAAAUCUACAAAGGCAAAUGGAAUGGUACUAAAUUAUUUACAUAAUAAUGUUUAGGUGGUGGCCCUUAUAACAUUCUUUCUAUACUUCCUACAGAGUUGGGGAUAUGCAAUCCUAGAAUAUUUCUGGGAGCUAAUCCUUUAGCUUGAUGAAUGAAACAAGACUUUUAAAUAAAAUUAAACUUUCAAAUUAUCCAGGUAAUGGGCCUGUCUUUUAAUUCAAUGGAUAUGGAGCAUAAUGAAUUAUCCCCUGUUCAUUGGGUAAUAAGUUCUCAUUCUUAACUUCUAAUACUCAAAAUGUCCUUUAAUUUUUAAUUUUCAAUAGUCAUAUCAUUAUCCCUAGGUAUUUUAGCUUCUAUCUUAAAUUCUAAAAUAAUUUUGAAACAGGAGAAAGUAUUCUUUAUUACUAUAUGUAUUAAACAUCAUGGUUUUCAAAUUUAACUGCAAAUGUAUCUUUUCAUUGCUUCUUGGUGACGCCCUUCACCCUAUCCAUAUUGUCACUACCAAGUGGUGAUUACUUUUCAGGUUCACAUACUUGUUCUUUAGAAAAAUCUUCCCUGUGCCUUAUAAAGAAUAUGAUUGUUGGCAUUCAAAAGCCAGCGAAGUAUACAUUAUUAGCCUGUUGCCUAACUCAUUUCUUUAAGAAACUACACUAAUUACCCACAUACUUAUGUUUUUAUUUCCUCAUUAUUUCUGGAGAAAACAAAUACUGCUAACAUGAUAUUUGUAAGAGAGAAAAAAGUCUUUUCUUGAAAAGUGCUGUCAUUGUAGUACUAACUUAUAGUAUCAACUUCUUUAUCAACUCCUUAUACACUUUUUAUUCUGAGAGAAAUAAAAAAGCUAAAAGUGAAAUGACUUUUUUUACUCUCCAUAUUAUAAGCACCCAUCUUGGUAAUUUAGGGUCUUUAUAGUUAGGGUAGGUUGUGUCAUACCGAGG
rnacentral:lncRNA from 1 species